UACGGGGGGGGUAAGCGUUGUUCGGAAUUACUGGGCGUAAAGGGCUCGUAGGCGGCCAACUAAGUCAGACGUGAAAUCCCUCAGCUUAACUGGGGAACUGCGUCUGAUACUGGAUGGCUUGGAUUUGGGAGAGGGAUGCGGAAUUCCAGGUGUAGCGGUGAAAUGCGCAGAUAUCAGGAGGAACACCGAUGGCGAAGGCAGGUCUCUGGGCAUUAACUGACGCUGAGGAGCGAAAGCAUGGGGAGCGAACAGG
rnacentral:rRNA from 1 species